CCCUCGUCGCCUAAGCCUGCCCUCCGCCAGACGGGUCCCCUCCCGGCGGCACCACGGCUUCCCUUCAACCGCACGGCGACGGGGGCUUCCCCUCAGCAGCAGCCGCUGCCUCGGUCUCCGCAGCCGGCCAGCCUCCGCCGCGUCCGCGGCCCGCGGCCGCCAUGCAGUUUAUGUUGCUUUUUAGUCGUCAGGGAAAGCUGCGGCUGCAAAAAUGGUAUGUCCCGCUCUCAGACAAAGAGAAGAAAAAGAUCACAAGAGAACUUGUUCAAACCGUUUUAGCACGGAAACCUAAGAUGUGCAGCUUCCUUGAGUGGAGAGAUCUGAAGAUUGUUUAUAAAAGAUAUGCCAGUCUGUAUUUUUGCUGUGCUAUUGAGGAUCAAGACAAUGAACUGAUUACCCUGGAAAUAAUCCAUCGCUACGUGGAAUUACUUGACAAGUAUUUUGGCAGUGUGUGUGAACUUGAUAUCAUCUUUAAUUUUGAGAAGGCCUAUUUUAUUUUGGAUGAAUUUCUUUUGGGAGGAGAAGUUCAGGAAACGUCCAAGAAAAAUGUCCUUAAAGCAAUUGAACAGGCUGAUCUCCUGCAGGAGCCACGGCAUGAAUAUUUUAAUGUCCCUGUGUACUAAAUGACUGCUCAUCGACUAUGCAGAAUUUCACAGAGGAAAUAGAGAACUGAUAUACUUAUGAAAGAAAAUGUCCUCAGCUUGGUGACUAAUUCUCCUGUAAAAAGAUAAAAAGCAUCUUAGACCUAGUACCUUUAUGAUUGUAUUUUUUUCUGUACACAUUCCUAAUUUUAUUUUCAUUCUGUAUGUGAUAUUAAUAUAUUGUUUAUUUCUGUCUAUUCCUGUCUCUUUUUGAGGAAAAUAUGACUAGUGAAUAUUUUGAUUAAUAUCCUAAACAUGUGCAAGUUAUCAUUAGUAAACCAUCCGUGAUUAAUCUUAUGAGAGUAUAACAGAAAGGCUAGGCUAUCAUAAAUGUUUACCAAAGAAAAUACUGUAAGAAAUUCAGGCAAAAUUAGCAGCACCACAGUAUUUAGUUCAUUGCUGAAGAAAACCAAGCUUUAUUUAACACUAAGAUUAUCUUACAGUCUGUAUGAGCUAAUAUGUUCAACUGUACCACAUGAAAGUGUGUGUUGAAGCAAUAUAAGAAAAAAAGUCAAUUACAAUUAUGGAAGACCUAAGGUUAAAACAUUGAAUUUUCAAGAAAUUUUGUAGUGCCAAUAUUUAUGCACUGUCAAACAAUCCUUUUAAAAACUAUCAGAAAGCUGAAAUGUGUGUUGCUUGGUAAGAACUCUUUUGAAACAGUAAUACUGAGCCCACUUAUAUAAUAUGAAAAUUCUGAUCAUUCAUUUUCAAUAUCCAAACAUUUUUAUUAGUUAACGGCUUCCUAAUCAAUAUAUUAAGCCUUCAAAACACUCAAUGCUGUAUUAACUAUGGUCUUAUGUUUUAGAAUACUAAAACCUUUUAACACUAAUUUUACAUAAAUGUGCUUUUAAUGACACUUAGCAUAUUUUAUUGUAAAAAGUACCAGGUAACUUUUUGUUUAUAUCUAGAGAGUUUAAAGCCUAAGUGAAUUGUCCUUAAUAAUUUCAGAGACAUAGUAUUGCAUGCCUGUCGUCCUAGCACUUGGGAAGCUGAGGCAAGAGAAAGAUGAGCUACUAUGUUACCUAGGGAGUCCUUGUCUCAAAAGACAAAAAUUAAAUAUGCCAAAAAAUACCGAAACCUGUUUCCCACUGAAAGAUCUGUGAAAAUAUUUUAGGGAAUGUAGUAUUAGGCAGCUGUCUAAAUUGACUAUCUCCAUUACCAUAUGAAGUGUCACAAAACAUUGGUCUUUCAUUUCCAUUUAUUCCCAUCUUCCCACCCUACAUGUUGUUCAUCUGACUUUAAUGUUGCAUAAAUAUGCAUUGUCUCAUGCCUGUUUGUUCUGGAUGCUGUGUGCUAAGCUGUAACAAAAUGUUGCGCUUUGGAGGGGGGCAGCGGUAGGGGCAUCUGUAUACAGCUGCUUGCUUUAAAUUAGCAGAUUCUAAAAUAGCUUUUCUUGCAUGUCUAAAAUAAAGUAUUGCAUGUACUUUGUCUCAUGUGAAUGACUUUUUUCUACUCCAUCCUUUUUGAUAAAAUAACAUUUUAUAUUUUCAUUUUUCCAGGUAAUUUUUUAAAAUUGUGAUUAAAAAAAACAUAGAAUUCACCAUUUUAACCAUUUCUGAGCCUACAGUAGUGCUAAGUAUAUUCAUAUUGUACAACACAUAUCCAGAACUUUUUCAUCUUGCAGAACUGAAAUUACAUAACUCACCAGCCAACCACUUCCCAUUUCUCUCUCACUGAAGAAAGGCCCUGGUAACAACCAUUCUAUUUUAAUCAUUUCCCUAAAUAAUUUUGAGCUACAAUUUCAGUGUGUACUUGUAAAAAUUACAUUUUGUUUUAUAAACAGUUUGUAUAAAUACUCAAUUUAUCCAGUCUUAAAAGAAUAAAAUAAAAUGUGUAAAUUAGGCCUUUUAGAGAGGACAUAUUUUAAAUAAUGCCCAUUUAGAAAGCAACAUGAUUCUCUUCAGACCACAGUCAGUGAGCAUCCUGGAGAAAUUUGAUCGUCCAGGGAAUAGAUAUGGGCCAUUUUUAUCUAGCUAGACUGAGAAUAUAAACUGACUAGAAUUCAGUGUAGGGAUCCUUUAACAUUGUAACAUAUUAAAGGUAGCAAGAAGUUUUAAAAUGGCUCAAUAUUAAAUGGAAAUAACUUUUAAAUUCACAUGUACUUUGCCUCAUGUGAAGGACUUUUUUCUACUCCAUCCUUUUUGACAAAAUAACAUUUUAUAUUUUCACUUUCCAGGUAAUUUUUAAAAUUGUGAUUAAAAAAUAACAUAGAAUCCAUCAUUUUAACCAUUUCUGAGCCUACAGUAUGAAAUAUUUUAAGUAAUUCAGAUGUCACUCUCAGUGUAGUUAAAGAAAGGCAAACAUUUUUAAGCAGAAGAGAUUGGCAUCUAUCACUACUAUUGUUAGACUGCUUUUAAAAACUGUCAUGAAAAUGUCUAGACAAAAACAGAAUCCUCAUACAGAGCAUUCAUUCAUUCAUACAUCAUUCAGCAUCAACAGUUACGAACUUUAUAUCCACCAUGUCCCAGACAAACUGUCAUUUCAUCUUAAUGUUUCAGUAUGUAUUCCUAACAGAUCAUUGCCACAACAAAUAAAAUGGACAGAAAUUAACUUUGCUUUGUACCUGGCUCAGCUUUUCCUAAUUAUUGAUGGGGAAUAAAUGCCUUCUUAUAAUGUAUAAAAUUAGAUUCCAAAGAAAUUUUAUAUUGGAUGGUUCAUAGGCCUUUAGUCUCGUUUGUAAGCAAGCCUGAUGUUUGUUUUUGGUUUUUCACUCUUUGCCAUUAAAAAACAAAACUGGACUUUUUGAUACCAUACAGUUUCCCACAUUCCUAUAUAUUCUCAUGGCAAUGUUUACCUUUUUCUUUUCUCCUCCUGAUUAGACUGGAGUAUCAAUUCGGGGGUUGGGGGGGCAAGUGUACUGCAUAGAUCAUACUACCUUUUGAAAAAAAUGUCCUUUUUUCACUAAAGCUGAUUUUCACACAUUCUUAAUUCCUAUACAAGCAUACUAACAGACAUUCUAUGAACAUUUUUGGCUAUAGUAUUUAGUACUAAAUCCCUUCAUUUAGAUUGUAAUAGUGUAAUUAUCAGCUAAUAUUUUUUGAAACACUUUCUUUAAAUCAGGCAUUGAGCUUUAAACUAAAUCUCAGCACAUAAAGGUAAGUACUACUAUUUUUGUUUCCCAAAUAUGGAGACAAGUUUUAAGUCAUUUAAGAUUACACUAUACAGUGGAUUUCCUACCAUUCAACCUAACAUUCUAAGGAUUCCUGAUUUAAUAUAAUUUUUCUUUUCCUUGUUUUGUGCUGUCUCGUGAUUAGGAUGCAAAAGAAGCUGAAACCCCACGUAGUGUUCUUGAAGAAAUUGGACUGACAUAACUGUACUCCCUUGCUGAUGACUUCUUGUGGCAUUUCACACACUGUAGAUGGUCACUGCCUCUCAUGUCCAUGUUAGCUAAUGGUGUAAGAUGAUGUCUUGUCAGUAUUACUGUCUUGCUAAGCUGCUUCAUUCAGGCCUACCCAAUUUUUUUGAAAGGAAACUUUGGUUAAUCAAAUAAGGGACAUAAAUGUGAAUUAGAAAGAUACAGGAAAAGUAACAUACCAUUUCUGAACAUUUUAAUUAUGUGCAUAUAUUAAAAUGAUGUCUAUAUUCAUGUAUAUCCAAAAAUCUGGCAAAAUACAUUUACUAGUGUACUUGCAAAAGGAAACUUAAAUGAAGUGAAACAUGGUUUGAUUGAAACCAAAGAAUAGAGUAGUAUUUCAGUAUAUAUAAGAAUAAAGGAAAUUGACACAUCACAGAUCAAAUGAAGGAAACUUUAUUGAAAAUUUAGGCAACCAAUAUACACUAAAACAAAGGGAAUAGAUGCUUUUAGAGAACUUAGAAUGGUCUACUUUACACUAAAAUUAAGUAAGUAUUCUGAAGGACUGGGACAAGGUCAAAAACUUUCCUAAUCUUGAGCACAUAAUUUUCAAGGCCAAGGAACAUUUAACUCCUGAGGUGAAGUUUUAGUGGUCAUAAUCAUGUAGUUACUUAACUGUUUUCAAGGCCCCAAAACAAAAUAGGGCAGUUAAUUACCAGGUAUCCUUUAUAACAGUAUGUUGCUCUCUUCACAAAGUGUUAUAUAAAGUCAUUAUCUAAAGCAUGAAUGUUCCUUCUGGGGUGCUUGUUAAAGCCAAAUUUAUUUUUGCUUCCCCACUGCUUCCUUCCAAUUAGAAGUGCUACAAACUUGACAGCAGCUCCCUUUCCUUCCAUGUCACUACCUAGUCAUCAGAAGUCUUGUGGAAAUUUCAGAGAUACGUUUCAUAUAGCAACGUGAGAGUUGAGUGAAGUAAAAUGGCAUUAGUUGGCCCUAUAUUUUUUCAAGCUAUAUAAAUGCUCUGCAUCACUUUUAUACAUACUGACACAUACAUGAACACAUCUCCCUGGUUUCUACUUUCCCUUGUAUAUGCUAGGCUGGAGUAAGCUUUGCUGUGAUUGUGAACAACUUUCAAGCCACCUGAACACUGUCUUAUCACAUCACCAAUUAAUGGUAAUAAAUGUUCUACAAA